ACUUGGAGGAUGUAUAGCUAAAGCUAACUGUGUUUUGUAAAAAAUAUAGAUUCGAUUUACUCGUAUAAAGUUCAAGGUAGAGUUUAUGAUAAUGACAUUUUCUAUCUAUAGUCUUGACCAACAUGCGUGCCAGCAGUCGCGGCAAGACGCUAAAGACAAGUGUUAUUCAUCUUUAAUAGGUUUAAAGCGUACCUAGACGGUAAAUCAAGCCUUAAUCGGGACUAAUUUAACUAGAGUUAGAUGUAAGGGUGCAUUAACGUACUGUUGAGUGUAGAGAUGAAAUUCUUUCAUACCAGAUGAUUGGCACGGGUUUAGGCGAAAGCAUCACCUUAUGUAAUAACUGACGUUGAAGGACGAAGGCUUUGUAUCGCGAACAGGAUUAGAUACCCCAGUAGUCUAAGCAGAAAAUGAUGAGUGUCAUAGGUUAAAUAUUAUUUAGUCUAUAAAUGAAAGUGUAAGCAUUCCACCUCAUGAGUAAUUUGGCAACAUUGGAAUUGAAAUCAUUAGACCGUUUCUGAAACCAGUAGUGAAGUAUGUUGUUUAAUUAGAUGAUCCACAAAGAACCUUACCACAAUUUGAAUAUUUUUAUUUUACAAGCGUUGCACGGCUGUCUACAGUUAAUGUCGUGAGAUUCUGGUUAGUUCCAUUUAAUUAACGUAAACCCUAACUUUAUUUUAUUUAUAUAAAGUUGUUCGCCGCUAGAUUGGUACUGAUAAAAGGGGGUAAGACAAGUCAUCAUGGCCUUAAUAUUGUGGGCUAUAGAC
rnacentral:rRNA from 1 species